rnacentral:rRNA from 1 species
GAUCAUGCUCAGGAUGAACGCUAGCGACAGGCUUAACACAUGCAAGUCGAGGGGCAGCGGGGUGUAGCAAUACACCGCCGGCGACCGGCGCACGGGUGAGUAACGCGUAUGCAACUUGCCUAUCAGAGGGGGAUAACCCGGCGAAAGUCGGACUAAUACCGCAUGAAGCAGGGAUCCCGCAUGGGAAUAUUUGCUAAAGAUUCAUCGCUGAUAGAUAGGCAUGCGUU